GGGGGCGAACUGGUUUCGACCGGUUUCGUUCUUCGUCGGGCUGCGUGUCGGGGAUCUCGAGUCACCCCGCUAAACCCUCUCGGGAACACGGCUAAUCUGCCGAACCUUUUGCUCUCGCCGCCUAGUCAAUAGGUAGCCGUUCCCCGCGGAGUGUCCGCGGCUGCGGGUGAACGCCACAGCGGGCUGGUCGCGAAGCCGCACUCCGGGGCGACGCGACGAGAACUUCGAGAGUUGGUCGUGUGCGAGCCUGUUCACGGGCGCGCCCAGGACGAGAACCAAAGCGCGAACUACACACGUAGAUGCACGGCGCGGCGUGAUUCCGGGACGCGGGUUCAACUCCCGCCGCCUCCACCA
rnacentral:tmRNA from 1 species